rnacentral:pre_miRNA from 1 species
UAUUAAGAAAUUUAUUUGUUUUUUUUGUUAAAAUUAGCAUGGGUGACAAAAUAACCAAACAGUGACAUGUUACGUGUCGUGUAAUUUAUGCUGAUGUAUAGGGACCAGUUUUUAAUAGUAAAAAAAUGGAUGAAUUUUUUAAUA